CAGGUGGUGCAUGGUUGUCGUCAGCUCGUGUCGUGAGAUGUUGGGUUAAGUCCCGCAACGAGCGCAACCCUCGCCUCUAGUUGCCAGCAUUCGGUUGGGCACUCUAGAGGGACUGCCGGCGACAAGUCGGAGGAAGGUGGGGAUGACGUCAAAUCAUCAUGCCCCUUAUGACCUGGGCUACACACGUGCUACAAUGGGCGGUACAAAGGGCUGCGAACCCGCGAGGGGGAGCGAAUCCCAAAAAGCCGCUCUCAGUUCGGAUUGCAGGCUGCAACUCGCCUGCAUGAAGCCGGAAUCGCUAGUAAUCGCGGAUCAGCAUGCCGCGGUGAAUACGUUCCCGGGCCUU
rnacentral:rRNA from 1 species